rnacentral:lncRNA from 1 species
ACCGAGAAGUUGGAUUUAGAGCAGGCCGAUGCAAUAGGGAGCCAAGGAACAGUUCUCCAAAAGACGCCAUGUGCUCGGUCGCCAUCACAAACAAGCCUUGCAAUCUCGACCUUGAGUUGCACAGAAUCCUGACAAAAGGUUUGGACUACGGAGACCGGUAGACAAAAGGUCGCCAUUCAGCACCAGUAAUUGUUAUCUUUGGCAUCCUUGAUAGGAGGUUCUGAGUCUUCAUGAUUUCAUAACCUGAAAGCAGAGAAAGAGCCAACGGAUAUCAGAGGCUCCAAAAUGUUUUAAGAACAAUACAAUCUAAUGGAUGUAUUCAACAUUCACAUUCUAGUACAAACCACAUAGAAC